GAUGAACGCUGGCGGCGUGCCUAAUACAUGCAAGUCGAGCGAACGGACGAGAAGCUUGCUUCUCUGAUGUUAGCGGCGGACGGGUGAGUAACACGUGGAUAACCUACCUAUAAGACUGGGAUAACUUCGGGAAACCGGAACUAAUACCGGAUAAUAUUUUGAACCGCAUGGUUCAAAAGUGAAAGACGGUCUUGCUGUCACUUAUAGAUGGAUCCGCGCUGCAUUAGCUAGUUGGUAAGGUAACGGCUUACCAAGGCAACGAUGCAUAGCCGACCUGAGAGGGUGAUCGGCCACACUGGAACUGAGACACGGGCCAGACUCCUACGGGAGGCAGCAGUAGGGAAUCUUCCGCAAUGGGCGAAAGCCUGACGGAGCAACGCCGCGUGAGUGAUGAAGGUCUUCGGAUCGUAAAACUCUGUUAUUAGGGAAGAACAUAUGUGUAAGUAACUGUGCACAUCUUGACGGUACCUAAUCAGAAAGCCACGGCUAACUACGU
rnacentral:rRNA from 1 species